rnacentral:rRNA from 1 species
AUUGAACGCUGGCGGCAGGCCUAACACAUGCAAGUCGGACGGUAGCACAGAGGAGCUUGCUCCUCGGGUGACGAGUGGCGGACGGGUGAGUAAUGUCUGGGAAACUGCCCGAUGGAGGGGGAUAACUACUGGAAACGGUAGCUAAUACCGCAUAACGUCGCAAGACCAAAGUGGGGGACCUUCGGGCCUCACACCAUCGGAUGUGCCCAGAUGGGAUUAGCUGGUAGGCGGGGUAACGGCCCACCUAGGCGACGAUCCCUAGCUGGUCUGAGAGGAUGACCAGCCACACUGGAACUGAGACACGGUCCAGACUCCUACGGGAGGCAGCAGUGGGGAAUAUAGCACAAUGGGCGCAAGCCUGAUGCAGCCAUGCCGCGUGUAUGAAGAAGGCCUUCGGGUUGUAAAGUACUUUCAGCCGGGAGGAAGGUGCUGAGGUUAAUAAGCUCAGCAAUUGACGUUACCCGCACAAGAAGCACCGGCUAACUCCGUGCCAGCAGCCGCCGUAA